UACGUAUGGGGCAAGCGUUAUCCGGAUUUACUGGGUGUAAAGGGAGCGCAGGCGGCGCGGCAAGUCAGAUGUGAAAGCCCGGGGCUCAACCCCGGGACUGCAUUUGAAACUGCCGUGCUGGAGUGUCGGAGAGGCAAGUGGAAUUCCUAGUGUAGCGGUGAAAUGCGUAGAUAUUAGGAGGAACACCAGUGGCGAAGGCGGCUUGCUGGACGAUAACUGACGCUGAGGCUCGAAAGCGUG
rnacentral:rRNA from 1 species